UUGCUUUUUUCACCAUGGCCAUGCUGGCUAGAUUAGAUGAGGACUGCAAUUGGAUAACAGCUAGUGAGCUGUUAUCUGAAACAGGCAUGUCACUCAUCUAUACCAUAAAAUAAUGUAAUAUACAAGGUGUAACAUGUUCACAAGAUGGCAAGAUUAGAUGAGCACUGUUCAUGUUCAGUAUGGAAAAAGAGAAGAUUGAGAGGAGCUACAACAGCUAUCUUUAAAUAUCUGAAGGACUGUAAAAUGAGACACAAAACAAUCUUGCUUUCUUUGCUAUUUCAGAGGAUACAACUGAAACCAGUGGAUCAUAAUUACAGGAAAGGAGAUUCCAUUAAAUAUUAGGAAGUACCACCAGAUGUGCAUCGAAGUACUUGGCUAUUCACAGUACUGUGCUCAGAUUUCUGCCUCCCAAGAGAUCCCGGUUUUGAAUGGUAGAUGGGACCUGGAAGGAUGGGACCAAAAUUUGUUCUUGUUUAUCUGGCUCAGUAGUACAUGGACUGUAAUGGAGAUCAUUCAAUAAAAGGAAGCUAUUAUAGGAAGACAUCAAGAGUGACAGAAAACAGAGCCAGUUUGCUGAGAAAAGCUAUUUCCUGAUGUGACAUUUGUCUUCUCAAAAUAACUUUCUUAAGGAAAACAUUUACCAUAACAGUUCUUCUGGCGACCUUCUGAACACAAUCAAAACACUGACAAGAGCUAUACACAUCAGUGAUGGAAUGGAAGGAUUGCUGUCAAGCAAGCAAAAAGUGUCUUAUCCUCUACCAGAAGACAAAUAUAUUGUCACAGAUUUCAGUUUCUGUCAACCCUCCCACAAUCUUUUUUGUUCUUUCACAGUUCUGAAAAAUCUUAUGCAAUCUUUUAAAAUUACAGUAGAGUGGGUCAGCCUAAUAUUUGGGGAUUCUGUGUGCCAAGUUGUUUGUGAUCUUUUUUAUUUGGAGAACUAGCUAAGACUUUAGCUAAAAUUCAGCUUUUUCUAUCAGGGUUUGAACAUGCUGCUAUAAAUUGAAGGAUUCUGCUCCCAAAAAUCAAUUCUAGGAGAAAUUAAGCUGCAUAAUAAGUGGUUCAAAGAGAGCAGCAUGUGCGUUUGUGUGUUUGUGUGCCGGGACAGAGCGGGGGAGUGCGAUGAUCAAGCUGUGCUUUGGAAGUUUCAUUUUAAGUGUAGCCUCCAUGUAUCUUUGGGGAACGGCAUAUGGCAUGUGCUACAGAUGGAUAGAUAAUGAUACACGUACAGCUGGAUGUCUUUGGCAUAGGUGGUCCAGCUUGUAUCAUGCCAGCUGGCUAGCAGCAGCUAGGUCUGGAGAAUGAUUUGAUUACCCACAGCUGUUGCACAAAGUCAACACAAAGCAGGGAGGGGAAAUGUGGAAGAUGCUGUGACAAGAGGAAGCCGGAAGGGGAUUGCACACUAAUCCUCCUUACCUCAACAAGGGGCCCCAAGACUUCACCCACCAACAAUACAUCUCUCUAGACAGGAGCUUUCUUCCUACACCUAUGCCUCAUUUUGAAUGUGAUGCAUUUAGGAUGAAAGUUAAGAUGGGAUAAAUUUGAACAACUUUCUGAAACAAUCCAUUGCAGCCAGUUCUGAAUAAUGCAUGAACCAAAUUUACAAUGCUCUGCCUUCUUCACCCUGUGUGUGGUACAGGGAGCACAGCUGGCUUUUGCUUUGUGCUGUAUACCAUCCCUAAUUGAAACAAAGCCCAAGUAGACACUCCGGCAUGCAUUCAUUCCUUUUCCACUGACCUCUUCCCAUUCCUCUAUUUAGUUUUUCUUGUGUCUUGUUAUUCAUUUGCCCGUACACUCACCAUCAAUGGUCUAUGUUUAUGCUAGAAACUCCUUAGGGGAGAAAUUGAUCUUUUGGUUUUGUUACUUUAUGCCAGUACAGGUAUAUUGUAGCUAAUGACAUAUUCUUGGGCAUUUCUCCAUUAAUAAAAUGUCUGUACCACAGGCAGAAAUAACAUCAAAAGAAUGAGGAUAUGUUCCUUCAACACACAAAAAGAAGAGCACUUCAAUGUGUUUCUGCAGGCAUUUUCUUCAAAACUGACAAUAUGCAGCUGUGAUAUGAAAAAAGUCAGGUAAUCUUACACAAGUAAACAAAAACAUUAAACUUUCUAGAGACCAUUUGAAAGCUUUUUUCCAACAUGAAUCUGGGUAUAAUUUUUUCUUUCACCAGCAACUUUAUGAUUUCCAUCUACAUUGACCAUUUAAUGCAAUUUGAAGCUGUGGUGGACAGACAACAAGCUCUCACAAAAGCACACAAAGGAAAGCCCUUAAUGCCCACCAGAGCUCUUCAGUUUGUGUAAUCACCAUCUGGGCUUCAAACUGGUUCCAGGAUUUCUGAUGUAAUCAUAUGCACAGCAGAAACACUUUCUUCAUUAUUGGUGUGAAACUGCAUUGCAGUGUAGCUCAGGUCUCAGUGGCUAAAUGUAUGGGUGAGGUAGACUAAUCUCUUUCCCCCCCUUUCUCUUUGUUGUAUCAUUCAUGCAUCCUCAGUGAUGAAUUCUGGCUCCAACCACUGUUCAUCUUGCCUAUUGUAGGUAGGUUCACAUGGCUAGAGUAAGAUCCAUAAAAGUAGAAUGCUACUCUUUCUUAGCAAAAACAUUUUAUCGUAUUAUCUAUUGCAGAUACACUGCUACAGUACAACACUCAAUGUUUCUGUUUCUCCAACCAUCCUUCAUCAUCCUUCCAAUGUUGAUACUUUUUUAUACCCCUUCCAGAUAGACAUAAGACAAGGAAGAAAACAUGGGCUUGUUAAAUGGACCUUUGUUAAAUUUCAAGAGACUUUGAGAACUGAGAUAUAUCAGUAUACGGUUAAUGUCACCUUCAUUUGGAGAUGACCAA